rnacentral:lncRNA from 1 species
CUAAUAAUGUACAAAUGACUAAAGAAGCAGCUCAAUUUUGCACAGACUUAUUUUGAGACUACAGGCUGAUAAAGGCUAAGACUUGGAUUUAAUGAGCUCUCAAUAACAUCUGAGAUUUUAUGAUUACCUGUCUGUAAAGUUUGUAGUAUACAGAAAAGGAUGGACAGCAUACAGGAUCAGGAGACCACAUGUUCGUAUUAACAAUUUCAAACACCAUCAUAAACAAGAUUCAGCGUUGCAUUCUGUUGUUGAAGGUAGAUGCAGGAGAAAGGCAGAAAACAUGGCAAAUUUUCUGGAAGCUUUUCACUGGAUUAUUUCCUUAGUUUUGAUGUAAUGUCUCCACACCCUUCAGAUAUCUUUCUGAAGAUCCCAAGACCCUUCAGCAGAAAACCUCUACUACAUACUUAAGAGGCAUCUUCAAAUCAACACUGCCAGAAACACUGCAGUGGUGACUCCUUCUUCUGAGGUCAGAACCCCAAGAGAUAAAAUUCCAUCAGGUGGGGAUAAAUAGGUUCCUCAGCUCCAAGUGAAGACCUCUAAUCCAACAUAAUGUUUGAAGGCUGAGCCACAGACUUUCUUCUAGAUAUCAGUGCUCCUCACAGUAGAGUCACUAUGAGUGCCUCCACAGCCUCAGACUCCAGCUGUGCCCCAGACUGUCCAAAAUUGGUGAAUGCAAAAGACACAGGC